CUCGCUCUCAUUUUGGUAACAAUGGAAGUGUUUAAAGAAACAAAUCCCUGCUUAAUUUGUCGACCUCCUAUUGGGCUGCACCUCCUAGAGGCCAUUAGGCCUCAUCCCAGUUACUUCGGUAACAAACAGAAAGAGGCCCAACCGAUGCCGAAAUCCAAAGAAAAAUAGACACUCGACACAGAAUAAGAACCAUGGCCUGGACCUACUACCUUCUCCAGACUUCCUGAGACCAACAUUACAGAUCACCGUUUGACCCUAUUCUGCCAUGACAUCGUUUCUUCAUCAAAGGACACCUGUGCUUUUGUGAUAUGUUUAUG